rnacentral:rRNA from 1 species
GAUGAACGCUGACAGAAUGCUUAACACAUGCAAGUCAACUUGAAUUUGGGUUUUUAACUUAGGUUUGGGUGGCGGACGGGUGAGUAACGCGUAAAGAACUUGCCUCACAGCUAGGGACAACAUUUGGAAACGAAUGCUAAUACCUAAUAUUAUGAUAAUAGGGCAUCCUAUAAUUAUGAAAGCUAUAAGCGCUGUGAGAGAGCUUUGCGUCCCAUUAGCUAGUUGGAGAGGUAACGGCUCACCAAGGCGAUGAUGGGUAGCCGGCCUGAGAGGGUGAUCGGCCACAAGGGGACUGAGACACGGCCCUUACUCCUACGGGAGGCAGCAGUGGGGAAUAUUGGACAAUGGACCAAGAGUCUGAUCCGGCAAUUCUGUGUGCACGAUGAAGUUUUUCGGAAUGUAAAGUGCUUUCAGUUGGGAAGAAAGAAAUGACGGUACCAACAGAAGAAGUGACGGCUAAAUACGUG